rnacentral:rRNA from 1 species
AAAUGACUCUCGGCAACGGAUAUCCCGGCUCUCGCAUCGAUGAAGAACGUAGCGAAAUGCGAUACUUGGUGUGAAUUGCAGAAUCCCGUGAACCAUUGAGUCUUUGAACGCAAGUUGCGCCCGAGGCCACUAGGCUAAGGGCACGUCUGCCUGGGUGUCACGC